GAUGAAGAACGUAGCGAAAUGCGAUAAGUAGUGUGAAUUGCAGAAUUCAGUGAAUCAUCGAAUCUUUGAACGCACAUUGCGCCCCUUGGUAUUCCAUGGGGCAUGCCUGUUCGAGCGUCAUUUGUACCUUCAAGCUCUGCUUGGUGUUGGGUGUUUGUCUCGCCUCUGCGUGUAGACUCGCCUCAAAACAAUUGGCAGCCGGCGUAUUGAUUUCGGAGCGCAGUACAUCUCGCGCUUUGCACUCAUAACGACGACAUCCAAAAGUACAUUUUUACACUCUUGACCUCGGAUCAGGUAGGGAUACCCGCUGAACUUAAGCAUAUCAAUAAGCGGAGGA
rnacentral:misc_RNA from 1 species